GGCCCAUUGGACAGAGGUUCGAGUGAGGAGCGAUGGACGUGUAAGUUCUGUGAUUCCUAGAAGAGCAGACGGAAGGGGCUGCAAUUAUCUGCUGGGGACACGUGUCAACGUAUUCUCAUCCCACUUGGAUUAGAUAUGGAGCCCACUGAACCAUUAUUUCUUUGAUUUUAAAUUUUCAAACAAUGCUUGUUUUUGGAGGUGGUUUUGUUGGUUGGAUUGGAGAGGAAAGUCUAGAGAUAAUGGAAAUGGAGGACAAGAAGCAGGAGAGUUCACCUUCCUCAAUCACUGCUGAUCUUUUUGGUGCCAAGGAGUCACCACCAUCCUCUUCAUCAGGAACUUUUGCCUCCAUUUUUCCACCUCCGUUAACGGUUGAAGCUUCUAUUCAUGUUGCUAUAAUUGUUGAACUAGAUAUGAUGUUCUAGUACUGGGAAAAAAGCGGGGAAAAUACUUGCUUCUCACCUGUCAAACUGACAGUUCUUAAAGUAAAGGAAAAGAAAAAAAAUCCAUUUUUUAAUUGAGAAGUCAUGGACAGAAUGGUAAUCUGUCUAAUUUAGUUAAGUGUGUGCUCCAGAAAAUUCUGGGCCAAACAUCCCCUGCUUGUUCCAAUAUGUUUUGAAUGUUUGGUGGAGGAACUUUUGAAAAAAUCAAGAGACUUCAUGGAAAAAAAAAUGAUUGUCUUUGAAAUAUACACAGAUUUCCUUCUUCCAUGCUAUAGUUCAUGGAUUUCAUUUUCUCUCCGUUUCUGUACUUUUUGUGUUUUUGAAAUUAAAAGAUAAGCUAAGUUAGGUGUGUAAUAGAAAAAAUAGGAUUUAUGGAGCAAGGAUCAAAUGAAAUGGAGAAGUUGAGCUUGGAAUUCAAGCAUUUUUCUCACUGGAAAAUCAUAUGAACUUGAUGAUGGGGUUCUGUUGGCCAAUAUCUAAAUUCUUUAUUGGUGCAAGUUCAGCUGGUUGGGAGGAACUCCUUGGGCACUGAGGUAAUGGGAUCUUGGCAAAAACAACCUUCAGGAAAUCAAGCAUGGAACAUGAAACAAGGAACUCCAGGUUCAUGAUCAGGGCUUAUUCAGCUUCUUUUUCUGUUACUUCUUUAUUGUUAGAGGGAAAAUUUUCUUUUACAGCAACUGUUGCUUAGUUGAAUGCCAUUCAAGCUCAUUUUACUCUCUUUCUUUCUCUCUCUGAGGUGAUAAGCUAAAACUUGUCACUUGAUAUUUGUAAUCUUCCAGUUUUUCCCCUUGUGCAAAUUUUACCAAUUCCGGUAUCCUAUAUUCAGAAGAGCUAAACUUCUUAGAACCUUCAUUUACUAAGCAAGCAACAAUAAGGAUGCAUUUUAACAGUUUAUGAACUUCUAGUUCUAGGUUAUGCUUCCCUAAAAUCAUAUGCUUGUAACAAAAUCCUUGGUACCUUAGUGUAAAAGUAUAUAUGCAUGGAAAAUAUGGCCUCAAAAUUUUGAUUUUUCUCAAUCUAUAUAGCUAUCAGUAGUGGGGGUGCCCGCUGUACCAGAACCAACAAGGACAGGAGUUCAAUUUUCCAAGAAAGAGUGGAACCAUGUCAUCUAAGUUCAUCACUUUAUUACGGUGGACAAGACAUCUAUUCCCAGUUUCCAAGUACCCAAUCCUCUGGAUCAUAGCCUCAAUUGAACCAAAAUUCGGGAGAAGAUGAUCCAAAUGGAAACAACUCAAACAGUGCGUCUCGAGGAAACUGGUGGCAAGGUUCACUUUACUAUUAGGGGCUGUCUUCCAUGGCAAGAAAGUUCUCCAUCCGUUCUCAAGGAAUUCAUGGAGACAUGGUCCCAAGCAUGGCAGAUAAUCUGCAAUAUAAAGAAUACCCGAAAUAGCUUUAAAACAAAAAGAGCAGCUAAUGUGGUUGAACAAUGUUUAUAUAUAUGCUCUUUUUAAACCUGUAAUUGUGAUUGUAGAAGGAGAAAGGGGCCUCUAAUUGUUCCCCAUAUGUCAAUAUAAAUGCUUGAAUUGCAGAUA